rnacentral:lncRNA from 1 species
GGUAGACACUGAUUGAUCUGUAAAGAGCUCGCCUCUGAUUCACCUCCAGAUAACAUGAUUCUUCCCAGAAGUGAGAGAAAACCGAAGAAGGAUGGACUGGCCACAGUCCUCAUCGCUUGCAUCCACCCUGACACUCAUCUGAAGGCUGUGGUUUGGCCUCAGGACCUCUGGCAGCAGCGCCCAGACCCACUGAGACGGUGUGUGGGGUUUGAAUUCAGUCUUCACGAUCGGCUUCUCCUGGGGAUUAGAAAAUCCAUAGCCAAAAGCCGUCUCCUGCCCCACCCACCUCCACCAUCUGCAGGAAGGAGACAGUGGAAGAGAGAGCCCCUCUUUUCCCUUGGGAUACUGUCAUGUUUGUGUCUGGCUGUGAUGCCCAGAGCGGCUGCACCUCGCCUCCACUUUGAAGAUGCAGCCAAUGGGCAGAGCCCAUGGGAUCCAGGAGAAGUGAAGUCAGAGCUUUGACAUCCUGUCUGGAGCAUGCCCUGCCAGGAUUUCUGGGCUGUGAGAUGACAAAUGUCCUUAAGUCUUAGACUAAUUUGAGUUGAGACCUUCUAUUGCUUAUAACAACAUCAUCCUAAGGAUGUUUUUGGGAGUCUGGGUCUUAUUCUGGGGCAAUGGAGAAUAGAUAAUGACUACUAGUGGGUGGGUGGAUGGAUGGAUGGAUAGAUAGAAGAAUGGAUCGGUGGAUGGAUCUAUGGAUGGAUAAAUGGAUCAAUGGAUGGAUGGAUCAAUGGAUGAGUGGGUGGAUGGAUGGAUGGAUGGAUGAAUGGUUGGAUGGUUGGAUGGAUGGAUGGAUGGAUGGAUGGGUGGAUGGAUGGAUGACGGAUGAUGGUCACCGCCUGGUCAAAAACCAUGAGGCUGCUAUAAAGGAAAUGGAUUGUCAGGAGGAGGUUUUGGGAGCCAGAAGCAGGAAGGAUUGGAAUCUGGUAGGAGUUGAGGGCCCACCGGUCCAUGCCAGCCCCACCUUUGCAAAGAACCUUCACCAGAGAUGGGAAGCCCCCCAUGGAGCAGUCAGCCCAUCCAGCUGCUGGGAUGGUGCCAUGACCUAGAAGAACAUCAGGCAUCCAGUGCAACACAGCUCCCACUGUUGCUUUCAUGCCGACAUGAGUAAAACUCUGCAGAGGCACAACAUGCAUUGUCUCUCCACCCACAGAGACAAGCGGAGUGUCUGUGUGUCUGACUGUGUCAACACACAGUCGUUAAAAAGCAUGUUUCACUGAAAACACAACCACAUAAUCACAGCCAUUACCUCCUAUUCCCUUUAAUAAACG